UACGUAGGGGGCAAGCGUUAUCCGGAUUUACUGGGUGUAAAGGGAGCGUAGACGGCAGAGCAAGUCCGGAGUGAAAGCCCGGGGCCCAACCCCGGGACUGCUCUGGAAACCGUUAAGCUGGAGUGCGGGAGGGGCAGGCGGAAUUCCUGGUGUAGCGGUGAAAUGCGUAGAUAUCAGGAGGAACACCGGUGGCGAAGGCGGCCUGCUGGACUGCAACUGACGUUGAGGCCCGAAAGCGUGGGGAGCAAACAGG
rnacentral:rRNA from 1 species